rnacentral:rRNA from 1 species
UGAAACAUCUAAGUACCCCGAGGAAAAGAAAUCAACCGAGAUUCCCCCAGUAGCGGCGAGCGAACGGGGAGGAGCCCAGAGCCUGAAUCAGUGUGUGUGUUAGUGGAAGCGUCUGGAAAGGCGCGCGAUACAGGGUGACAGCCCCGUACACAAAAAUGCACAUAUUGUGAGCUCGAUGAGUAGGGCGGGACACGUGGUAUCCUGUCUGAAUAUGGGGGGACCAUCCUCCAAGGCUAAAUACUCCUGACUGACCGAUAGUGAACCAGUACCGUGAGGGAAAGGCGAAAAGAACCCCGGCGAGGGGAGUGAAAAAGAACCUGAAACCGUGUACGUACAAGCAGUGGGAGCCUCUUUAUGGGGUGACUGCGUACCUUUUGUAUAAUGGGUCAGCGACUUAUAUUCUGUAGCAAGGUUAACCGAAUAGGGGAGCCGAAGGGAAACCGAGUCUUAACUGGGCGUUAAGUUGCAGGGUAUAGACCCGAAACCCGGUGAUCUAGCCAUGGGCAGGUUGAAGGUUGGGUAACACUAACUGGAGGACCGAACCGACUAAUGUUGAAAAAUUAGCGGAUGACUUGUGGCUGGGGGUGAAAGGCCAAUCAAACCGGGAGAUAGCUGGUUCUCCCCGAAAGCUAUUUAGGUAGCGCCUCGUGAAUUCAUCUCCGGGGGUAGAGCACUGUUUCGGCAAGGGGGUCAUCCCGACUUACCAACCCGAUGCAAACUGCGAAUACCGGAGAAUGUUAUCACGGGAGACACACGGCGGGUGCUAACGUCCGUCGUGAAGAGGGAAACAACCCAGACCGCCAGCUAAGGUCCCAAAGUCAUGGUUAAGUGGGAAACGAUGUGGGAAGGCCCAGACAGCCAGGAUGUUGGCUUAGAAGCAGCCAUCAUUUAAAGAAAGCGUAAUAGCUCACUGGUCGAGUCGGCCUGCGCGGAAGAUGUAACGGGGCUAAACCAUGCACCGAAGCUGCGGCAGCGACACUAUGUGUUGUUGGGUAGGGGAGCGUUCUGUAAGCCUGUGAAGGUGGCCUGUGAGGGUUGCUGGAGGUAUCAGAAGUGCGAAUGCUGACAUAAGUAACGAUAAAGCGGGUGAAAAGCCCGCUCGCCGGAAGACCAAGGGUUCCUGUCCAACGUUAAUCGGGGCAGGGUGAGUCGACCCCUAAGGCGAGGCCGAAAGGCGUAGUCGAUGGGAAACAGGUUAAUAUUCCUGUACUUGGUGUUACUGCGAAGGGGGGACGGAGAAGGCUAUGUUGGCCGGGCGACGGUUGUCCCGGUUUAAGCGUGUAGGCUGGUUUUCCAGGCAAAUCCGGAAAACCAAGGCUGAGGCGUGAUGACGAGGCACUACGGUGCUGAAGCGACAAAUGCCCUGCUUCCAGGAAAAGCCUCUAAGCAUCAGGUAACAUCAAAUCGUACCCCAAACCGACACAGGUGGUCAGGUAGAGAAUACCAAGGCGCUUGAGAGAACUCGGGUGAAGGAACUAGGCAAAAUGGUGCCGUAACUUCGGGAGAAGGCACGCUGAUAUGUAGGUGAAGCGACUUGCUCGUGGAGCUGAAAUCAGUCGAAGAUACCAGCUGGCUGCAACUGUUUAUUAAAAACACAGCACUGUGCAAACACGAAAGUGGACGUAUACGGUGUGACGCCUGCCCGGUGCCGGAAGGUUAAUUGAUGGGGUUAGCGGUAACGCGAAGCUCUUGAUCGAAGCCCCGGUAAACGGCGGCCGUAACUAUAACGGUCCUAAGGUAGCGAAAUUCCUUGUCGGGUAAGUUCCGACCUGCACGAAUGGCGUAAUGAUGGCCAGGCUGUCUCCACCCGAGACUCAGUGAAAUUGAACUCGCUGUGAAGAUGCAGUGUACCCGCGGCAAGACGGAAAGACCCCGUGAACCUUUACUAUAGCUUGACACUGAACAUUGAGCCUUGAUGUGUAGGAUAGGUGGGAGGCUUUGAAGUGUGGACGCCAGUCUGCAUGGAGCCGACCUUGAAAUACCACCCUUUAAUGUUUGAUGUUCUAACGUUGGCCCGUAAUCCGGGUUGCGGACAGUGUCUGGUGGGUAGUUUGACUGGGGCGGUCUCCUCCUAAAGAGUAACGGAGGAGCACGAAGGUUGGCUAAUCCUGGUCGGACAUCAGGAGGUUAGUGCAAUGGCAUAAGCCAGCUUGACUGCGAGCGUGACGGCGCGAGCAGGUGCGAAAGCAGGUCAUAGUGAUCCGGUGGUUCUGAAUGGAAGGGCCAUCGCUCAACGGAUAAAAGGUACUCCGGGGAUAACAGGCUGAUACCGCCCAAGAGUUCAUAUCGACGGCGGUGUUUGGCACCUCGAUGUCGGCUCAUCACAUCCUGGGGCUGAAGUAGGUCCCAAGGGUAUGGCUGUUCGCCAUUUAAAGUGGUACGCGAGCUGGGUUUAGAACGUCGUGAGACAGUUCGGUCCCUAUCUGCCGUGGGCGCUGGAGAACUGAGGGGGGCUGCUCCUAGUACGAGAGGACCGGAGUGGACGCAUCACUGGUGUUCGGGUUGUCAUGCCAAUGGCACUGCCCGGUAGCUAAAUGCGGAAGAGAUAAGUGCUGAAAGCAUCUAAGCACGAAACUUGCCCCGAGAUGAGUUCUCCCUGAGACUUAGAGUCUCCUGAAGGAACGUUGAAGACGACGACGUUGAUAGGCCGGGUGUGUAAGCGCAGCGAUGCGUUGAGCUAACCGGUACUAAUGAACCGUGAG